GGGUAGGCGCAGCUACCAUGCAGUCGAGCGGCAGCACGGGUACUUGUACCUGGUGGCGAGCGGCGGACGGGUGAGUAAUGCCUAGGAAUCUGCCUAGUAGUGGGGGAUAACGUCCGGAAACGGGCGCUAAUACCGCAUACGUCCUACGGGAGAAAGUGGGGGAUCUUCGGACCUCACGCUAUUAGAUGAACCUAGGUCGGAUUAGCUAGUUGGUGAGGUAAUGGCUCACCAAGGCGACGAUCCGUAACUGGUCUGAGAGGAUGAUCAGUCACACUGGAACUGAGACACGGUCCAGACUCCUACGGGAGGCAGCAGUGGGGAAUAUUGGACAAUGGGCGAAAGCCUGAUCCAGCCAUGCCGCGUGUGUGAAGAAGGUCUUCGGAUUGUAAAGCACUUUAAGUUGGGAGGAAGGGCAGUUACCUAAUACGUGAUUGUUUUGACGUUACCGACAGAAUAAGCACCGGCUAACUCUGUGCCAGCAGCCGCGGUAAUACAGAGGGUGCAAGCGUUAAUCGGAAUUACUGGGCGUAAAGCGCGCGUAGGUGGUUUGUUAAGUUGGAUGUGAAAGCCCCGGGCUCAACCUGGGAACUGCAUCCAAAACUGGCAAGCUAGAGUAUGGUAGAGGGUGGUGGAAUUUCCUGUGUAGCGGUGAAAUGCGUAGAUAUAGGAAGGAACACCAGUGGCGAAUGCGACCACCUGGACUGAUACUGACACUGAGGUGCGAAAGCGUGGGGAGCAAACAGGAUUAGAUACCCUGGUAGUCCACGCCGUAAACGAUGUCAACUAUCCGUUGGGAGUCUUGAGCUCUUAGUGGCGCAGCUAACGCAUUAACUUGACCGCCUGGCGAGUACGGCCGCAAGGUUAAAACUCAAAUGAAUUGACGGGGGCCCGCACAAGCGGAGGAGCAUGUGGUUUAAUUCAAAGCAACACGAAGAACCUUACCAGGCCUUGACAUCCCAUGAACUUUCUAGAGAUAGAUUGGUGACAUUCGGGUAACAUCGAGACAGGUGCUGCAUGUCUGUCGUCAGCUCGUGUCGAUGAGAUGGUUGAGGUUAAGUACCGGUAAACGAGCGCAUAUCCCUUGUACUUUA
rnacentral:rRNA from 1 species